rnacentral:rRNA from 1 species
ACGAACGCUGGCGGCGUGCUUAACACAUGCAAGUCGAACGAACUAUAGCAAUAUAGUUAGUGGCGGACGGGUGAGUAACGCGUGACCAAUCUGCCCCGGACUGCGGAAUAACGGUGGGAAACUACCGCUAAUACCGCAUGUUGAAAUUAGAUCGCAUGGUCUGAUUUUGAAAGCUUCGGCGGUCCGGGAUGAGGUCGCGACCUAUUAGCUUGUUGGUGAGGUAAUGGCUCACCAAGGCGACGAUGGGUAGCUGGUCUGAGAGGAUGAUCAGCCACACUGGGACUGAGAUACGGCCCAGACUCCUACGGGAGGCAGCAGUGAGGAAUAUUGCGCAAUGGACGAAAGUCUGACGCAGCAACGCCGCGUGAAGGAUGAAGGUGCUUUGCAUUGUAAACUUCUGUAGGGAGGGAAGAACCCCCCGCUUUUGGCGGGGUUGACGGUACCUCCAAAGUAAGCACCGGCUAAUUCCGU